GUGGCCCUAGAAAAGGCAAAAAGACAAAAAAAAAAAAAAAAAAAAAAUUCUGUUUAAAGGUGAGUAUAUGUUUCUUUUUUUUCUAAGUUCAAGAACUUCAAGAUAUAUCAAUAUGCCAGGUCAGAUAUCCUGCAACCCUGCCUGCAACACACACCAGAGUUAAUGGAUCAAAUAUAACAAAUAUCUUUUUUAAAUGCAACACUGAGCUGGCAAGUAAGUAAAACCAAAGGGCAGGAAAAAAAAGCACAAUUAAAACCACAGCAGUAUUAAUUUUGGACAGGAUAGACUUUAAGCAAAGAAUAAUAUUAGGGAUUAUAAAAGUCAUUACAGGAUGCUAAAAGGAAUGAUUCAACAGGAAGAAAAAAAAUUAUAAACUUAUAUACACCUAAUAAUUUAGAGCUUUAAAAUUGAUAACAUAUGUAGUAGACAUAACUACUAGGAGAAACUGAUGGAGAUUUUUUAAUAUACCUCUGUCAUUAGUUGAUCACAUAAAUGAAAAAAUUUGUGUGUGAAAAUUGGACAACCCAAUUAAUCCACCUUAUCAUGUAUGUAGAUGCAUACUCUGCAAUCAGUUUUAGAGAACACAUUAUUUUCAAGUAUAUAUGGAACAAUUAUAAAAACUGAUCAUGUAUUAGACCACAGAACAGUUCUCAAAUACCAAACGAUCCGUAACAAAGAUACUAUAUUCUCUGAUCAUGAUGCACCAUUUUCCUAGAGAAAAAUACAAUUUAUUAAAGCUACUCAUAACCGUUAAAUAAUGUGUCACUUUGGCUAGGCUGACCUACACUGUUCAGACUUGCCUUUCUUGUGUUUAUUGUCAAGGUGGGCCCAAAGGGAAGCUGAGAAAUCUGGAAAGCAAAGAGAAGCAGCCACCAUUGUGUGGCUCCCACACGCUGCUGAGCUGCCGACUCACCUUGUUGGUGUGAAGUGGAGCUAAGCCUGCGGUUGCUCCAGGUGCCCCUGGAUCCCGGUCAGCUGCUCUGAUUCCCGGGCCAGUUUGCCAGCUUGUGCCUGUGGGGUUGAGCCUGCUCCUGAUCUCCCCUGACUGCCUGCCCUGUGGACCUCAAGCUCCAGGAUCAGUUUCGAGAGGAAGAUUCAGACUCGCCUCUGCAAUUGGAACAUUUCCUAGUCCCCAUCUCAUCUGGGGCCUCGCAGCGAGCAGGGGCAUCAUGCGUGCAAAACGCUCAUCAGCAUGUGCAGGCAGUGCUUCACCCCUGUGCCUCUAGAGAAAGGCCCAGAACCAGUGCCUGGAGGGUUCCAGAAGCUCCUGGGAAUCACAAGAAUGUUCCUCACCCGCACCCUGCCCAGAGGCCUAAGCAGAGAACUCAAGAUGGAAAAAGGAAGGGCCGUUGCCCGACGCCUCACUGUCCUUCUAGCCUCUCCUCCUAACGACCAUCCAAUGAAAACACGGAAACCUGGUCACAUCUUGAGGCGUUAGGGGUGUGACGGGGGCACGAGAAGGGCAACACGAGGAUUCAGAUGCCACAGAGGAGAGGGAAGCGGGGAGGAGGACAACAGGUAGCAACAUG